GUGUGGGAGGCCCAGACAAUCAAACACAUCCGCCCAGAUCCGGCCACUCCCCUCCCACUGUGCAGACAUAUUUGUCACAUUACCUUUUUCAUCUGAAACAACUACAACUUACACCACAGUACCAGCACAGCUAACAGAGAAAAAGACAGUCCCUCCUUCAAAAAAUCCAUCAUCUAAUUUUCCAUACAUCUAUCCAGUGUCUCUCCUGGUUCUGGGAUCUGUGCUCUUCCUGGCCUUAGUGCUUCUGGUUGUGCUGUUUUAUCAGAACAGAGUGCUCAGGAGAGUGAUUUCUAAGGCGAGGAGGAAGACUCUGCUUGAGGCAGUCUAUGAAGAGAUUAACCAUAAAUGUGUCACUAACAGAUAUACUAAAAGAGGAAGUUUUAUCUCUGAAGAUCAGCAUUCAGGAUAUGAGGACGUAGAUGAGGAGCUUCUCUCAGAAAACUAUGGCGAGGUCUAUGAUGAUAUCAUUCCUGCUGAAGAGAGCCCAC